UACGUAGGCAGCAAGCGUUGUUCGGAAUUACUGGGCGUAAAGAGUGUGUAGGCGGUGCUCUAAGUUCGGUGUGAAAUCUCCCGGCUCAACUGGGAGGGUGCGCCGGAAACUGGGGUGCUGGAGCGCGGGAGAGGAAAGCGGAAUUCCUGGUGUAGCGGUGAAAUGCGUAGAUAUCGGAAGGAACACCUGUGGCGAAAGCGGCUCACUGGACCAUAACUGACGCUGAGGCGCGAAAGCUAGGGGAGCAAACAGG
rnacentral:rRNA from 1 species